rnacentral:rRNA from 1 species
UAGGGAAUCUUCGGCAAUGGACGGAAGUCUGACCGAGCAACGCCGCGUGAGUGAAGAAGGUUUUCGGAUCGUAAAGCUCUGUUGUUAGAGAAGAACGUUGGUAGGAGUGGAAAAUCUACCAAGUGACGGUAACUAACCAGAAAGGGACGGCUAACUACGUGCCAGCAGCCGCGUUAAUAUGUAGGUCCCGAGCGUUGUCCGGAUUUAUUGGGCGUAAAGGGAGCGCAGGGGGUUCGUUAAGUCUGAGGUUAAAGGCAGUGGCUUAACCAUGUUACGCUUUGGAAACUGGAGGACUUGAGUGCAGAAGGGGAGAGUGGAAUUCAAAGUGUAGCGGUGAAAUUGGUAGAUAUAUGGAGGAACACCGGUGGCGAAAGCGGCUCUCUGGUCUGUAACUGACGCUGAGGCUCGAAAGCGUGGGGAGCAAACAGG